UGUGGGAGCUGGCUUGCCAGCGAUAGCGGUGGCAUUGCCGGAAUAGAUAUUGAAGGUGCCGACGUCAUCGCUGGCAAGCCAGCUCCCACA
rnacentral:antisense_RNA from 1 species